AGUCACUGACAUUAGAUACCCGGGUAGUCCAGGGUGUAAACGCUGCAGACUUGGUGUUGGAAGCCCUUUGGGGGCAUUCAGUGCCGGAGAGAAGUUGUUAAGUCUGCUACUUGGGGAGUACGUCCGCAAGGAUGAAACUUAAAGGAAUUGGCGGGGGAGCACCGCAACGGGAGGAGCGUGCGGUUUAAUUGGAUUCAACACCGUAAAACUCACCAGGGAAGACUGUUACAUGAAGGCCGAGAUGAAGACUCUGCCAGAUUUUCAG
rnacentral:rRNA from 1 species